rnacentral:rRNA from 1 species
GAUGAACGCUGGCGGCGUGCCUAAUACAUGCAAGUCGAGCGAACGGACGAGAAGCUUGCUUCUCUGAUGUUAGCGGCGGACGGGUGAGUAACACGUGGAUAACCUACCUAUAAGACUGGGAUAACCUCGGGAAACCGGAGCUAAUACCGGAUGAUAUUUUGAACCGCAUGGUUCAAAAGUGAAAGACGGUCUUGCUGUCACUUAUAGAUGGAUCCGCGCUGCAUUAGCUAGUUGGUAAGGUAACGGCUUACCAAGGCAACGAUGCAUAGCCGACCUGAGAGGGUGCGCGGCCACACGGGAACUGAAACCCGGUCCAGCCUCCUCCGGGAGGCGGAAGUAGGAAAUCUUCCGAAAUGGGCGAAAGCCUGACGGAGCAACGCCGCGUGAGGGAUGAAGGUCUUCGGAUCGUAAAACUUUGUUAUUAGGGAAAAAAAAAUGUGAAAGUAACUGUGCACUUCUUGACGGUACCUAAUAAGAAGGCCACGGCUAACUCCGUG